rnacentral:rRNA from 1 species
UACGUAGGGUCCGAGCGUUGUCCAGAAUUACUGGGCGUAAAGAGCUCGUAGGUGGUUUGUCGCGUUGUUCGUGAAAACUCACAGCUCAACUGUGGGCGUGCGGGCGAUACGGGCAGACUGGAGUACUGCAGGGGAGACUGGAAUUCCUGGUGUAGCGGUGGAAUGCGCAGAUAUCAGGAGGAACACCGGUGGCGAAGGCGGGUCUCUGGGCAGUAACUGACGCUGAGGAGCGAAAGCGUGGGGAGCGAACAGG